UACGUAGGUGGCAAGCGUUGUUCGGAAUUACUGGGCGUAAAGCGCGCGCAGGCGGUUUCUCAAGUCAGUGGUGAAAGCCCGGAGCUCAACUCCGGAACUGCCAUUGAAACUGUGAAACUUGAGGACGAGAGAGGUGAGUGGAAUUCCCAGUGUAGAGGUGAAAUUCGUAGAUAUUGGGAAGAACACCAGAGGCGAAGGCGGCUUUCUGGCUCGUAACUGACGCUGAGGCGCGAAAGCGUGGGGAGCAAACAGG
rnacentral:rRNA from 1 species